rnacentral:rRNA from 1 species
GCAUCGAUGAAGAACGCAGCCAGUUGCGAUAAGUAGUGUGAAUUGCAGAAUUCAGUGAAUCAUCGAAUCUUUGAACGCAAAUUGCGCUUUCUGGAUAUCCAGGGAGCAUGCCUGUCUGAGCGUCGUUUAAUAAUCUACACACCUCGGUGUGGCUAGGGAGUUCAUGCAAUCUCGGUUGCCUGUCUCUCGAUGUGUCUGAACCUGGCAGUGUGCACUUCGUGUACUGCUUGGAAGGCUCAACUUGCUUCUGUCCUUCUAAAGCUUGUACUUGUGAUAACGCUGUCUAGUGUUCUACUUCGAAUUUAUUCGAAUUCCUUGAUUUUUGACCUCAGAUCAGACAAGACUACCCGCUGAAUUUAAGCAUAUCAAUAAGCGGAGGA